rnacentral:rRNA from 1 species
AACGAACGCUGGCGGCAUGCCUAACACAUGCAAGUCGAACGAGACCUUCGGGUCUAGUGGCGUACGGGUGCGUAACGCGUGGGAACCUGCCCUUAGGUUCGGAAUAACUCCCCGAAAGGGGUGCUAAUACCGGAUAAUGUCUUCGGACCAAAGAUUUAUCGCCUUUGGAUGGGCCCGCGUUGGAUUAGCUAGUUGGUAGGGUAAAAGCCUACCAAGGCGACGAUCCAUAGCUGGUCUGAGAGGAUGAUCAGCCACACUGGGACUGAGACACGGCCCAGACUCUUACGGGAGGCAGCAGUGGGGAAUAUUGGACAAUGGGCGAAAGCCUGAUCCAGCAAUGCCGCGUGAGUGAUGAAGGCCUUAGAGUUGUAAAGCUCUUUUACCCGGGAUGAUAAUGACAGUACCGGGAGAAUAAGCUCCGGCUAACUCCGUG